rnacentral:tRNA from 1 species
GGUGGUGUCGCAUAGUGGUUAAGGGCCUGGGCUCUGGAGCCAGUCUGCCUAGGUUCAAAUCCUGGCUCUGCUU